rnacentral:misc_RNA from 1 species
GAUGGAAGCAAGCUUUGUAUUGAAGCAGAUACCGAGCUGCUUGAGUCUUCCUUGGCUCCCCCGUCAAUUACCCAAUUCGCAAUCCUUCGUUUUCUCUUCAUCCUUCAAAUCCCACUUGCUCUUCCUCAAUCCCAAAUACUCUUCUCCAUCUACAUUUCAAAUUGAUCACCAAUUUAUUUGGAAUAGCAGCAAUGGCGCCACCAAGCCUAAAACUACCAGCAAGAAGAGAAGAAUCGUUAACAAGAAAAAUAUUGGCGUCCACAAAUCAAACACCAGCAAAUCUACUGAUACUAGUAGGAGUACAGAUGGUGGAAAGAUUAUAGUCCGAGAAGAGCGUGAAAAGAAGG